rnacentral:rRNA from 1 species
CCUCCUAACGGAGGGAUAAUACUCGGCGUUAUGAUCGAGGGGCAUCUCUUGAUCAUGAAAUGAAUUUCGCCUCGGGAGGGGCUCACAUCGUAUUAGCUUGUUGGCGGGGUAACGGCCCACCAAGGCAAAGAUGCGUAGCGGGUGUGAGAGCACGACCCGCGCCACUGGCACUGAGACACUGGCCAGACACCUACGGGUGGCUGCAGUCGAGGAUCUUCGGCAAUGGGCGCAAGCCUGACCGAGCGACGCCGCGUGUGCGAUGAAGGCCUUCGGGUUGUAAAGCACUGUCGAGGGGGAGGAAGUCCCGGGUAACCGGGAUUGACCUAUCCCUGGAGGAAGCACGGGCUAAGUUCGUGCCAGCAGCCGCGGUAAGACGAACCGUGCGAACGUUGUUCGGAAUCACUGGGCUUAAAGGGCGCGUAGGCGGAUCAGCAAGUCCGGGGUGAAAUCUUUCGGCUUAACCGGAAAAGUGCCUUGGAUACUGCUGGUCUCGAGGGAGAUAGGGGUCAUGGGAACUUCUGGUGGAGCGGUGAAAUGCGUUGAUAUCAGAAGGAACGCCGGUGGCGAAAGCGCAUGACUGGACUCUCUCCUGACGCUGAGGCGCGAAAGCUAGGGGAGCGAACG